GAUGAACGCUGGCGGCGUGCCUAAUACAUGCAAGUCGAGCGAACAGACGAGGAGCCUGCUCCUUCGACGUUAGCGGCGGACGGGUGAGUAACACGUAGGUAACCUACCUAUAAGACUGGGAUAACUUCGGGAAACCGGAGCUAAUACCGGAUAAUAUUUCGAACCGCAUGGUUCGAUAGUGAAAGAUGGCUUUGCUAUCACUUAUAGAUGGACCUGCGCCGUAUUAGCUAGUUGGUAAGGUAACGGCUUACCAAGGCAACGAUACGUAGCCGACCUGAGAGGGUGAUCGGCCACACUGGAACUGAGACACGGUCCAGACUCCUACGGGAGGCAGCAGUAGGGAAUCUUCCGCAAUGGGCGAAAGCCUGACGGAGCAACGCCGCGUGAGUGAUGAAGGUCUUCGGAUCGUAAAACUCUGUUAUUAGGGAAGAACAAACGUGUAAGUAACUGUGCACGUCUUGACGGUACCUAAUCAGAAAGCCACGGCUAACUACGUG
rnacentral:rRNA from 1 species